GAUGAAGAACGCAGCGAAAUGCGAUACGUAAUGUGAAUUGCAGAAUUCAGUGAAUCAUCGAGUCUUUGAACGCACAUUGCGCCCCAUGGUAUUCCGUGGGGCAUGCCUGUUCGAGCGUCAUUUACCCCCUCAAGCUCCGCUUGGUGUUGGGCGUCUGUCCCGCUUCGCGCGCGGACUCGCCCCAAAGGUAUUGGCAGCGGUCGUGCCAGCUUCUCGCGCAGCACAUUGCGCUUCUCGAGGCACCGGUGGGCCCGCGUCCAUCAAGCUCACCCCCCCAGUUUGACCUCGGAUCAGGUAGGGAUACCCGCUGAACUUAAGCAUAUCAAUAAGCGGAGGA
rnacentral:misc_RNA from 1 species